CCCCCAUCGGACUAUGCUGCUCAUUGGCUGCAGCCUCGGGAAUCUCGGCCACGUGGUAGGCGCCAAAUUUUGCAGAAUGAAUGGAAUUCGGAAUCAGCUGGUGGCUCCGGGGACCUUAGGGUCAUUCUAGCAGCCACCUGCCCCUGCCAAUCUCAAGACUUGCGCCCCACGCCCCCGAGGGACCACCUAUCACAGCGCAGCCCUCCCAGUUGCGUCAUCAGCAGCCAAUCAGCGCUUGCUCUGCUGCCGACGGCGGGGAGGAUGCGGGGGAACAGGGGGCUCCGGCCUGCAGUGCCCUGGCUGCCCCCGGGACGCCCCGCGUGUCCCAAAUUCCGUCGCCAUCACCGCCUUCCCAGCGCACAAUGACUGGACGCCAGGUCCCUCCGCUCCAGGCUGCGCCUUACUGCUCCUCCCCUCAGUCUUCUCGCAGCUGCUAUCCUUAGGGGCACCUGGGAGUGAAUGAAGCUGCACGAGGUCCGCGAGCCUCUGCCCAGCCCCUGUCCCUGCAGCCUAGGAUGCAAAGGGAGGCUCAGAACCCAGGUCGCCCUGACUGUGGCCUUGGUAAAGUCUGGAAACAGUCCUCAGCCUCUGAUAUGCCAGAUAUCCCCAGGGCUGCUGGUUCCGAUGUAGGGACCUGCCCAGGGUCUGCACGCUCGGCCCGGUCCAUCCUACCACGGCCGCCCCCUGAGGGGCCCAGGGCAGCAUCUCCCAGCCCCAGGGGCACCCCAACCUGCUGUGUCUGGGGAAGUGGAAGGCCCGGAUCCUCGCAGUAUGGGGGCGGAGCUGCCCCUACCACCAAGUCCCCUAGUCGAAGGGCACAUGUCAACUAGAGGAUAAUGUGGGGUCUCCUGGUUUGAGUGUUCCCUGGGCUGCGCCUUCUCAACAUCCAGCGUGCCACCGCCAGACACCCCCGAGGUCCCCCGCAUGGUGGACGUAGCCUACGAGGAGCCACAGCCACUUCUCACCACAGAACUCCUCCUAAUGGCUCUGGGGGUCGCAUGGGCCACAGUCCACCCCCUCCCAGCGCUCCAUCCCCCGCUUAAGGAGGUGUGCUGGGCCCACGAGCUCCGGAGCACCCACUGGAGCCACGGCCUCCCUCCCACUGCACACUCCCAGCACUGAGCUGGGGAGCCAGGGCGCCUACCUGUCCCGCCAGCCCUCCCACCCACCUCAGCCCCCCCACCCACCUCAGCCCCAAGACACACACAGGCCGGCCUGGGGCUGCAGACUGAGUUAUUUUAUUUCGCUAUUUCCAGUUUGAAGCUACUAUCAUGGGCGUUUAGAGUUAU
rnacentral:lncRNA from 1 species